AAGGAUCAUUACCAAAUAUAGGUUGGCCCGUUCACGUGCCUGGUCAUUCCAGGGGCGGAAGGGGGGCCCGACCUCAAAUCUCUCUCUCUGCGUACUUUUCCCUGUUGCUUCCCCAGGAGUGCGACAUGCCACCUGGGGAAGGCCCCCCCCCCCGAGAGCUCGACGAUGCCGACAAACGCACCGGUAGAUCUCACAACCCCGGCCGUCUGAAGCCCGGCGCACCAAUCAGGGCGCAGGGAGCCAGGACGUGGACCGCAAACGGAUAGAAAAAACUUUCAACAACGGAUCUCUUGGUUCCCGCAUCGAUGAAGAACGCAGCGAAAUGCGAUAAGUAAUGUGAAUUGCAGAAUUCAGUGAACCAUCGAAUCUUUGAACGCACAUUGCGCCCCCUGGCAUUCCAAGGGGCAUGCCUGUUCGAGCGUGUCCGAGAAGGAGGCUCACGUGGGGAAACGCGUGGUUGUGCUCGAGGCGGCGGUCCCGACAGGGCGGCCAUCCCGGCGGAAUCGAUGGGCGGAUGCCUGCAGCCUCGCAGAGCGUGAUAUUCCUUGCUAUCGCCUCGAGGGCGGCGAGGCGUCCAGCCCACGCAUCCAUGCCCGGCUGGGAGAAUGUGACAUUGGAACUCCUCGAAUCAGGUAGGGAUACCCGCUGAACUUAA
rnacentral:rRNA from 1 species